UAUUAAAAAUUUCAUUCUUUUGUAUUAUUAAAAACUGGCAUGAUUGACGAAAUAACUAGACAGUGACAUAUGACGUGCCUCGUGUACCUCAUGUUAACGUAAAGAGACCAACUUUUAAAAGCAGAAAUGGAUGAAAUUUUUUAUA
rnacentral:pre_miRNA from 1 species